GGCAGUGUGGUUAGCUGGUUG
rnacentral:miRNA from 2 species